CCUACGGGUGGCAGCAGUGGGGAAUCUUGCGCAAUGAGCGACAGCUUGACGCAGCAACGCCGCGUGGGGGAAGACGGCCUUCGGGUUGUAAACCCCUUUCAGUUGGGACGAAGCUCGGUCUGUGAACAGCAGGCUGGAGUGACGGUACCUUCAGAAGAAGCCCCGGCUAACUACGUGCCAGCAGCCGCGGUAAUACGUAGGGGGCAAGCGUUGUCCGGAAUCAUUGGGCGUAAAGAGUGUGUAGGCGGCUCGAUAAGUCUGCUGUGAAAGUCCAAGGCUCAACCUUGGAAUGCCGGUGGAUACUGUCGGGCUAGAGUCCGGAAGAGGCGAGUGGAACUCCUGGUGUAGCGGUGAAAUGCGCAGAUAUCAGGAAGAACACCAACGGCGAAGGCAGCUCGCUGGGACGGUACUGACGCUGAGACACGAAAGCGUGGGGAGCAAACAGGAUUAGAUACCCCAGUAGUC
rnacentral:rRNA from 1 species